CCUACGGGUGGCAGCAGUGGGGAAUAUUGGACAAUGGGGGGGAACCCUGAUCCAGCCAUGCCGCGUGUGUGAAGAAGGCCCUCGGGUUGUAAAGCACUUUCAGUGAGGAAGAACGCCUGGUGGUUAAUACCCAUCAGGAAAGACAUCACUCACAGAAGAAGCACCGGCUAACUCCGUGCCAGCAGCCGCGGUAAUACGGAGGGUGCGAGCGUUAAUCGGAAUUACUGGGCGUAAAGCGCGCGUAGGUGGCUUGAUAAGCCGGUUGUGAAAGCCCCGGGCUCAACCUGGGAACGGCAUCCGGAACUGUCAAGCUAGAGUGCAGGAGAGGAAGGUAGAAUUCCCGGUGUAGCGGUGAAAUGCGUAGAGAUCGGGAUGAAUACCAGUGGCGAAGGCGGCCUUCUGGACUGACACUGACACUGAGGUGCGAAAGCGUGGGUAGCAAACAGGAUUAGAUACCCCUGUAGUC
rnacentral:rRNA from 1 species